rnacentral:rRNA from 2 species
UGGUUCCAUUCCGAACCCAGAAGCUAAGACUCUUCGCGCCGAUGGUACUGCACUUUUGUGGGUGUGGGAGAGUAGGUUAUUGCCGCUU